rnacentral:rRNA from 1 species
UGGGGAAUAUUGCACAAUGGGCGCAAGCCUGAUGCAGCGACGCCGCGUGGGGGAUGACGGCCUUCGGGUUGUAAACUCCUUUCGCUAGGGACGAAGCUUUUUGUGACGGUACCUAGAUAAGAAGCACCGGCUAACUACGUGCCAGCAGCCGCGGUAAUACGUAGGGUGCGAGCGUUGUCCGGAAUUACUGGGCGUAAAGGGCUCGUAGGUGGUUUGUCGCGUCGUCUGUGAAAUUCCGGGGCUUAACUCCGGGCGUGCAGGCGAUACGGGCAUAACUUGAGUACUGUAGGGGUAACUGGAAUUCCUGGUGUAGCGGUGAAAUGCGCAGAUAUCAGGAGGAACACCGAUGGCGAAGGCAGGUUACUGGGCAGUUACUGACGCUGAGGAGCGAAAGCAUGGGUAGCGAACAGGAUUAGAUACCCUGGUAGUCCAUGCCGUAAACGGUGGGCGCUAGGUGUGAGGGUCUUUUCACGACUUUCGUGCCGUAGCUAACGCAUUAAGCGCCCCGCCUGGGGAGUACGGCCGCAAGGCU